rnacentral:rRNA from 1 species
GAGUUUGAUCUUGGCUCAGAUUGAACGCUGGCGGCAUGCCUUACACAUGCAAGUCGAACGGCAGCACGAGAGCUUGCUCCUGGUGGCGAGUGGCGAACGGGUGAGUAAUGCAUCGGAACGUAUCCUGGAGUGGGGGAUAACGUAGCGAAAGUUACGCUAAUACCGCAUAUUCUGUGAGCAGGAAAGCGGGGGACCUUCGGGCCUCGCGCUCUUGGAGCGGCCGAUGUCGGAUUAGCUAGUCGUGGU